rnacentral:rRNA from 1 species
AGCUGGAGCUUGCUCCGGUGGAUUAGUGGCGAACGGGUGAGUAACACGUGAGCAAUCUGCCCUUGACUCUGGGAUAACUGCGGGAAACUGUAGCUAAUACCGGAUACGAGACUGGGAGGCAUCUUUCAGUCUGGAAAGAAUUUCGGUCAAGGAUGAGCUCGCGGCCUAUCAGCUAGUUGGUGAGGUAAUGGCUCACCAAGGCGACGACGGGUAGCCGGCCUGAGAGGGUGACCGGCCACACUGGAACUGAGACACGGUCCAGACUCCUACGGGAGGCAGCAGUGGGGAAUAUUGCACAAUGGGCGAAAGCCUGAUGCAGCAACGCCGCGUGAGGGAUGAAGGCCUUCGGGUUGUAAACCUCUUUUAGCAGGGAAGAAGCGAAAGUGACGGUACCUGCAGAAAAAGCACCGGCUAACUACGUGCCAGCGGCCGCGGUAAUACGUAGGGUGCAAGCGUUGUCCGGAAUUAUUGGGCGUAAAGAGCUCGUAGGCGGUUUGUCGCGUCUGCUGUGAAGAUCCGAGGCUCAACCUCGGACCUGCAGUGGGUACGGGCAAACUAGAGUGCGGUAGGGGAGAUGGGAAUUCCUGGUGUAGCGGUGGAAUGCGCAGAUAUCAGGAGGAACACCGAUGGCGAAGGCACAUCUCUGGGCCGUAACUGACGCUGAGGAGCGAAAGCGUGGGGAGCGAACAGGAUUAGAUACCCUGGUAGUCCACGCCGUAAACGGUGGGUGCUAGUUGUGGGUUCCAUUCCACGGAAUCCGUGACGAAGUUAACACAUUAAGCACCCCGCCUGGGGAGUACGGUCGCAAGACUAAAACUCAAAGGAAUUGACGGGGGCCCGCACAAGCGGCGGAGCAUGCGGAUUAAUUCGAUGCAACGCGAAGAACCUUACCAAGACUUAACAUAUA